CUCCCGUGCUGGAUCAAGAUCAUUGAUCCGAACCAAACGUUAAAGUAUUACUGGCUCAAGGACAAUCAGACUCUCAGAGGAGGUCAUCAACGUACAGUCAUCAAUAGAUACCUAAGGAUACGAAAGGCGAAGAAAGAGGACGCCGGCUUUUACACCUGUGUUGUGGUGAACGACUGCGGCAAAAGUAAUCUAACAAUACAGCUCAUUGUUAAAGAAACAACCUGUGACUCUAUUGACCUUACUCUAUGAUUGGUCGAGAGAACUCGUGCCAACAUCGCAACCCACACGGAGGCAAAAGUGAGACCUGUAAAAUUAUGAUUAAUCUUAGAUCUUCCUGCGAUCGCAACAUCUCAGGAUUUAAUGGAUUGUAUGGAACUCCAAGAUGCCAAGACCUGUAGUGAAGGCCAGUUCGCUUGUCACAAUCAACG